CUUCAGAACAGCAAGAAAGCGCAGUUGAAUGAAACAUGAUGGGGGUCUCCUUUUAAAAGUUAUAACUUGACAUCACGUGUUUUAGAAGUGGUGCAAGAUGCAUGAUAGCACCAAAGCCCUUCUUCUAGUGCAUGUUUAUGUAGAAAAACAUUUAAAUCCAGAUAGGCAUAUGAAGGUGUCCUGUGUAAGGGAAUGAAUCCCCUAUGACAGGCCCAUCUCUCUCCUCUUCACCUGUCUGACUAACUGAGUGCCGGUGGGCAGGGCCAAGGGUGCAAUGACAGAAAUAGAUAUUGAUGUCUUGCUAAAGAGGCAGUCAUUUGCAGAUGUAUUUGGUCCUUGUGCCUUCACGAGUUCCACAAAUUCCAAAUGAGCCGUUUUUGCAGCUUCGUUAAAAUAAAUGCUCUUUAUCUAUUAAGGAGGAAGUUUUCAACUCUGAAACUUAAGUAUGUUUUUAUAUUAUAAUGACCCCUUAUGUCAAAAGAUCAAGGAAAAUUUGAUUCCUAAUGUCAUGACCCCUUUAACACUUUACAAUAAGGUUGUAAUAAUUAACAUUAGUUAAGACAAUAGUUACCAUUAACUAACAAUUAACAAAACUUUUACAGCAUUUAUUAAUCUCGGUUCAUGGUGAUUUCUACAUUUAGUAAUACAUUUUUAUAAUACAGUUAUAUACAUUAACAUUAUGUUUUGUGAAAUUACAUGAAUAAACAAUGACCAAUAGUAUAUCUAUAAGUGAACAAAUAACUUAAAAAAUGCUCCAUUAAUUAACCUGUUUAAUCCCAAUUUUUUGUGGGCACAUGUAUUUUAUUCCUUGGAUAGCCCAAUGAAAGAAACUGUGUUCAUUUUUUAUUAAAGAAUUAUAUCUUUAAGUUAUAUAUAUUGUUUAAGUAUAUGUUGUUUAAAAAGAUCUGUAAGAUCUGUAAUAUUUUAUUUACUUAGCCUGGUGUGGGUUGGCCUUUUUUAUUGAAUGAAGAGCAGAUCAUUCCUAAUAAAUUCUCCUUUACUCCACAAUAAAUUGUUUAGCAUGUUCAUCAUGUUAACCAUCUUGUCAAACUGCGUGUUCAUGACGAUGAGUGACCCUCCAGCCUGGAGCAAAACAGUAGAAUAUGUUUUCACUGGCAUUUACACCUUUGAGGCAUUGGUAAAGGUGCUGUCCAGAGGCUUCUGCAUUGGAAAUUUCACGUUCCUUCGAGAUCCGUGGAAUUGGCUAGAUUUCAUGGUCAUCAGCAUGGCGUACCUCACAGAGUUUGUGGACUUGGGCAAUGUUUCAGCUCUGAGGACCUUCCGUGUUCUUCGUGCCCUGAAAACAAUUACUGUAAUUCCAGGUCUAAAAACCAUUGUUGGCGCUCUGAUCCAGUCAGUGAAGAAAUUGGCAGAUGUCAUGAUUCUCACAGUCUUCUGUCUGAGUGUGUUUGCUCUCAUUGGCCUACAACUGUUCAUGGGAAAUUUGCGUCAGAAAUGUGUCCUGUGGCCUCCGAUUGGCUGGAACUACACAGAAGAUCUGACCAUGAACUUCAAUCAAACAGACUACAAUGACACUAAAGCUGCCAACAGCACAUUCAGCUUCCAGGAAUAUAUUGAAAAUGGAGAGAACCACUACUUUCUACCUGGUCAUUUAGAUGCAUUACUAUGUGGGAACAGCUCUGAUGCAGGGAAGUGUCCUGAGGGGUACACAUGCAUGAAAACAGGCCGAAACCCAAAUUUUGGCUACACCAGUUACGACAACUUUGCGUGGGCUUUCUUAGCUCUUUUUCGGCUUAUGACUCAAGACUUCUGGGAAAACUUGUUUCAACUGACCCUUCGUGCAGCAGGGAAGACCUACAUGAUCUUCUUUGUAGUCAUCAUCUUCUUGGGCUCGUUCUACCUGAUCAAUCUGAUUCUGGCUGUGGUGGCAAUGGCGUAUGCAGAGCAGAAUGAAACCACCAUAGCAGAAGCUAAAGAAAAGGAGGAAGAAUAUGCAAGAAUCCUGGAACAGCUCAAGAAACAAGCUGAGCAGAAGAGUGGGAUGGUAAAUGGCAGUAGGACCUCUCUGUCAAAUAAAAAGAAAGAUGAUGAUGACUACAACGAUCAUGAUGGGAUUGCAAUGAAACUCCUCUCAGGUGGGGAGAUGGGUCUUGAGGUUGCAAAGUCAAAUGGAUCAAAAGGAAGUAUUAACCAACUAAACAUCCCUGACAUGGGGAUAAGAAAACCAGUUGCAGUGAGCACUACAGACAAUGCUUUAGAUGAGUUGGAGGAUACUCAAAGGCCAUGUCCUCCCUGCUGGUACAAGUUUGCUGACAUAUUCCUAAAAUGGGAUUGCUGCAUGCCAUGGGUGAAAUUCAAGAAGCUUGUCUACUUAUUUGUGAUGGACCCUUUUGUGGAUCUGGGCAUCACCAUCUGCAUUGUGCUCAACACGGUGUUCAUGGCAAUGGAGCACUAUCCAAUGACUGUAGAAUUUGAAAACAUGUUGACUGUGGGAAACCUGGUUUUCACAGGUAUCUUCACAGCAGAGAUGAUCCUAAAACUUUUAGCAUUGGACCCAUAUUAUUACUUCCAGGUUGGCUGGAACAUAUUUGACAGCAUAAUUGUGACCAUGAGUCUGGUGGAGUUGGGCUUGGCCAAUGUCCAGGGCUUGUCUGUGCUGAGGUCCUUCCGUCUGAUGCGUGUGUUCAAGCUGGCAAAGUCUUGGCCCACUCUUAACAUGCUGAUAAAGAUCAUCGGAAACUCUGUGGGUGCCCUUGGCAACCUGACCCUCGUCCUGGCCAUUAUUGUCUUUAUCUUCGCUGUGGUGGGCAUGCAGCUUUUUGGAAAGAGCUACAAAGACUGUGUGUGUAAGAUCUCAGAUGAUUGCGAGCUGCCUCGCUGGCACAUGACAGAUUUCUUUCACUCGUUCCUCAUCAUCUUUCGUGUCCUGUGUGGGGAAUGGAUAGAAACUAUGUGGGACUGCAUGGAGGUGGCUGGCCAAGGCAUGUGCAUCGUCGUCUUCAUGAUGGUCAUGGUUAUAGGAAACCUGGUGGUAUUGAAUCUAUUCUUGGCUUUACUACUCAGCUCCUUCAGUGGGAACAACCUGUCAGCUUCUGAUGAUGAGGGGGAGAACAAUCUGCAGAUUGCCAUUUCUAGAAUCACACGAGGCAUUGACUGGGUAAAGGCCUUCAUUUCCAGACAUGCGAGACAGCUGCUGGGCCUGAAGCCAAAGGAAGAAUCCAAGAAAAUAAAUGAAGAGGGCAAUAAAUUUAACUUGAAAAUGGUGGAUGGGUGGGAUGACAAGGGUCACUCUGGUGGGGCUGUCUUGAAUUCCAGUAUGACAGUUAUCAAAGUCCCUAUAGCCAAUGGUGAAUCUGAUGAUGAUGGUGACAGCACUUCUGAGGAUGAAGACAAAGAGUCCAUCGAUGGAAAUGAAAAAAUUAAAGAUGGAGAUGAAUCUUCAACAUGCAGCUCAGUGGACAAACCUCCUGUGGUAGAAGAAGUGGAAGCAGAUGUUGAAGAGGAUUCCACCAUCCCUGAGGACUGCUAUACAGAAAAUUGCAUGAGGCGAUGUCCUUGCUUGGAUGUUGACAUUACCCAAGGUAAAGGAAAGGCAUGGUGGAACUUUCGUAAAGCCUGCUUUGCUAUUGUGGAACACAGCUACUUUGAAACCUUUAUCAUCUUCAUGAUCCUCCUCAGCAGUGGCGCUUUGGCAUUUGAGGACAUAUACAUUGAACAACGAAGAAUGAUUAAAAUCAUCCUCGAAUAUGCGGAUCAGGUCUUCACCUAUGUGUUUGUCAUUGAGAUGCUUUUGAAAUGGGUGGCCUAUGGCUAUAAGGUCUAUUUCACAAAUGCAUGGUGUUGGCUGGACUUUCUCAUUGUUGAUGUGUCUUUGAUCAGCUUAACAGCAAAUAUUUUAGGCUUCUCUGAACUGGGGGCCAUUAAAUCUCUCAGAACUUUGAGAGCUCUGAGACCUCUUAGGGCUCUCUCCAGAUUUGAAGGAAUGAGGGUGGUGGUAAACGCCCUGGUGGGGGCCAUCCCCUCUAUCUUCAAUGUUCUCCUGGUGUGCCUUAUAUUUUGGCUUAUCUUCAGCAUCAUGGGAGUGAAUCUUUUUGCUGGAAAGUACUACUACUGCUUCAACACAACAUCCGAAGAGAUGUUCCUUCCCUCUGAGGUCAACAAUAAGACUCAAUGCUUUGAGCUCAUAGAGGCUGGUAAUGAGGAUGUGCGAUGGAUGAAUAUGAAGGUCAACUUUGACAAUGUAGGCAUGGGCUACCUCUCCUUACUGCAAGUGGCAACUUUUAAAGGAUGGAUGGAGAUCAUGUAUGGUGCUGUGGAUUCCAGUGAUAUUGAAAUGCAGCCAGAAUAUGAGGCAAACCUCUAUAUGUACCUUUACUUUGUUAUUUUCAUUAUCUUUGGCUCCUUCUUCACCCUCAACCUAUUUAUUGGUGUCAUCAUUGAUAAUUUCAACCAACAGAAGGCAAAGUUAGGAGGUACUGACAUCUUCAUGACGGAGGAGCAGAAAAAGUACUACAAUGCCAUGAAGAAACUUGGCUCCAAGAAGCCACAGAAACCUAUUCCAAGGCCUGUGAACUGCUUUCAAGGCCUUGUAUUUGACCUGGUCACCAAGCAGUUCUUUGACAUCUCCAUUAUGGUGCUGAUCUGCCUGAACAUGGUGACCAUGAUGGUGGAGACAGAUGACCAGAGUGCAGAAAAAGAAGAAAUUCUGUAUCUUAUCAAUCUUGUCUUCAUUGUGCUCUUCACUGGGGAGUGCAUUCUAAAGCUCAUCGCCCUACGGCAUCACUACUUCUCCAUUGGGUGGAACAUAUUUGAUUUUGUAGUGGUCAUUCUUUCAGUCGUAGGUCUUUUGCUGGCAGACCUUAUUGAGAAGUACUUUGUCUCGCCUACCCUUUUUCGUGUCAUCAGACUGGCUAGAAUUGGCCGUGUUCUGCGGCUCAUUCGGGGUGCGAAAGGUAUCAGGACGUUACUGUUCGCACUAAUGAUGUCACUUCCUGCCCUCUUUAACAUUGGCCUGCUUCUUUUUUUAAUAAUGUUCAUUUUUUCAAUAUUUGGCAUGUCCAACUUUGCAUAUGUAAAGAAAGAAGCAGGCAUUGAUGACAUGUUCAAUUUUGAGACCUUUGGGAACAGUAUAAUAUGCUUGUUCAUGAUCACAACAUCUGCUGGCUGGGACGGACUUUUGUCACCUAUUCUCAAUAGCCCCCCAGACUGUGACCCAGAUAUAGAGAACCCGGGCUCGACAGUCAGAGGCAACUGUGGGAGCCCCGCAGUGGGAAUUGUCUUCUUCUGCAGCUACAUUGUUAUGUCUUUCCUCGUUGUGGUCAAUAUGUACAUAGCCAUUAUUCUUGAGAACUUCAAUGUGGCAACAGAGGAGAGCAGUGACCCCUUGUGUGAGGAUGACUUUGAGAUGUUUUAUGAAACAUGGGAAAAGUUUGACCCUGACGCCUCUCAGUUUAUAGAUUACAGUAUGCUGUCUGAAUUCUGUGACACAUUGAAAGAGCCACUGAGAAUCCCAAAACCAAACACACUUAAAUUGAUUACAAUGGACCUUCCAAUGGUUCCUGGAGAUAAGAUCCACUGUCUGGACAUUCUUUUAGCCCUAACUAAAGAGGUUCUGGGAGAUUCUGGGCAGAUGGAUGGAAUGAAAGCAACUAUGGAGGAGAAAUUCAUGGCAAACAACCCUUCAAAAGCUUCAUAUGAGCCAAUUACUAGCACUCUUAGACAUAAGCAAGAGGAGGUGGCCACUUCAAUUAUUCAGAGAGCAUACCGCAAACACUUGCUUAAACGCACCAUCAAACAUGCCUCGUAUAUCUACAGAGAGAAGACAGACUCAAAGAGAAAAGAUGAGGAGGCUCCGGAGAAAGUGGGGAUGAUAGCUAAGACAAUGAGCCGUCUCUAUGGAGAUCAGGCCAUUGAGGAUGACAACGACAAAGCUUCUGGCUUUUCUAUCCCUCAACAAGUGAAAAACCAGCCCAGGGGUUGGUGUCCAGUGGUCAAGGUUCAGAGUGAAGUAAUCUUGCACUCUGCCCCCUUUCCCAACCCUGACUCCUCAACCAAUAUGGAAGACUACAGGGAGUCCAUUGUGUAGCAUGUUCCACCCAUGGUAUAAAAUGAAGAUUUAGAAUGCACCACAAUACUGAGACCCCUGUUCAUCUUCAGAGUUAAAUCUUGGCACACAUAGCCAGUAUGAAAGAACUGUGAUGGCAAAGAAUUGCAUUCAAAUUAAUUGAUGCAGUUGAUGGGUCCUUGCGUAUCAGUACUGCCCUUGAGAAGACAAUCUCAAACUUUUAGUCAAAUGUCACUGGAAAUGAUUGGGCUUUAAGCUUGAUGCCCUAGUGCAGAUAUUAGAGUGACAUAAUAUUUAUUAUUAUUUUUUUAUCCACAGAACCAUAGAGAACACUAGAGAAGUGAAUUUAAUUAGAACUAUAUAUACUUUUCUAUAGCUAACAAUCGGAAGAUAUAUAUAUAUGUGUGUGUGUGUGUGUUUGUAUACACUUCCGGUCAAAAGUUUUGAAACACUUGACUGAAAUGUUUCUCAUGAUCUUAAAAAUCUUUUGAUCUGAAGGCGUAUGCUUAAAUUUUUUUAAUUCGUUUUGUAGACAAAAAUAUAAUUGUGUCACCAUAUUAAUUUAUUUCAUUAUAAAACUCAAAUGUAAUAAAAUAAUAAUAAUAAUAAUUUUUUGAAAUUGAUGACUUGGACCAAAUAAUAAAGAAAAGCAGUCAAUAAGUGCCCAACAUAGAUGGGAACUCCUUCAAUACUGUUUAAAAAGCAUCCCAGGGUGAUACCUCAAGAAGUUGGUUGAGAAAAUGUCAAGAGUACAUGUCUGCAAAUUCUAGGCAAAGGAUGACUACUUUGAAGAUGCUAAAAUAUAACACAGUUUUGAUUUAUUUUGGAUUUUUUUAGUCACAACAUAAUUCCCAUAGUUCCAUUUAUGUUAUUCCAUAGUUUUGAUGACUUUACUAUAUUCUAAAAUGUGAAGAAAAAAAAAAAUUAUAAUAAAGAAUAAGUGUUUCAAAACUUUUGACCGGUAGUGUGUGUGUGUGUGUAUAUAUAUAUAUAUAUAUAUAUAUAUAUAUACAUACACACACACACACAUACACAUAAGUAUAUAUAAUUUUAAUUGUAUAAAUUGUACGCACAACAAUAAUGGUCUGAAUUUAUUGCAUUUAAUAUGAAACUAUUUGUGAGAUUUAUGGUUAAUUUUACUUUUAAUUUUACUAAAUUACUUUUCAAUAGGAUAUAACAGUAGGUAUCGAAAUUAAUGUUUGUUCUGAUAAUGACUUCGCACUAAUAAUUUAUAAUAUUAAAAUAUUUAACAAUGGCAAAAUAGUCAAUUAAUCUGUAUUUAAUAAAGCAUAUUAUUCUUAAUAGUAUAAUUUUGUAUUAAACCUUACAAACAGUAAUUAUUGUGGCAGAAUUUUUAUACAACAGUACACUAGUAGUGUUGAAAUCACUUGUAAACACUGCCCAGUAAGCCUCAAGUCAAAUAAAAGUGAAAACUAUAGGUUGCCAAAAUAAAAAAUAAAAAAAUAAAAAAAAUUGUAAAUAUGGAUUCUGUAAUAUUUAACUUUUUGCCUAAUGAGCCUUUUUUGGGUUAUGGGAUAUAUUGGAAAUUGUUAACUCCAAGUAUAGAGUCUGUGAAGUCCUUUGCUUACUACUGUGGGUUGAAUUCAUUUUUUAUUUUUUACUUUACUUAGUUGUCCUUUAAUAUGAGCCAGAUGGGGGAUUGUGCGAUUUGCCCAGUAUAUAGUGGUAAAGGAGGGUAUAACUUUUAAUUAACCAAAGAAGGAAACGACAGUGCCAAAGCCAAUUGGCAUAUACAUAAAUAUCCAAAUAUAAAAAACAGAAUAUAAAUAAACAAGAAAUGCUGUUUAUGCACAGUAUACAAAGAACAACAGCAUUUAAGCAACACAUAACAACAUCUUUGGAUGCUAAGAGGCUAUAUUUGUAUUUUAUUUUUUAAUCAAACAUACGUUUUCUUAAAUGCUUGACUUUUCAUUGAAACUGUGAGAAUCUUGGUAUUUUUGGAGAUAAAUUUAAUUUGAUUAAACAUAUACUGCUAAACUAUACAGAGUUUAAUUAACCCCCCAGUCAUAUGUUUCUUAUUUGUUAGGCCUAUAUUAAAUAAAAUUAACGAACAUGAGUUGGAUUACGAAGUAAAUAAAUUUGCUUUUGUUUCUGAUGCUUUCAGGCUUUCACUUUUAUUUUAACUUUCAUAACACUAAUUUUUUUAAGUUUUUUUUUUUUUUUUACUUAUUUUUAUUUUUGCAAACCAAUGAUGAGUAGAGAGAUGGUGGGUUACAAGCACUAAUGAUGUAACCAUAAUAAUGUGAACAAAAGAAUGCACAUAGCAGAAUGCUAUUAUUCCAAGAAGCCAAAUGUUUAUUAUAUUGCAAAUGAAAGAGUUUUUAUUUUGUUUACUUUUAUUUUGUUUACUAUUUACUUUAUUGCUUCCUAAUAACCUAUAUUUUAAGGUUGCCUAGUUCAACAUUUGUUGAUUGAUAUGGAUGUUAAGUCUUAUAAAAUCCAAAUGAGCUAACACACUAAUAAAAAGUCUGAAGCUUCAAAAUAGGACAAAACAGAAAGAUUUAAGUUUUUAGUUCAAUGAUUAAAAAAAAAAAAAAGAUUAUUUUAGUACUUUAAUGUAACACUUUGUUUACUAAACAUUUGACACCUCUUGAUUACAGUAUCUGUUACUUUGUCGCACCUGCUGAAUGCAUGCUGUGGAUAAUGUCGCAUUUUCCACGUAUUGAAACAUCUGUACAUUUAACUGUAUAUUCUUCUUCUGUUUACAUUACUGGAAUAAACUUUUUUUUUAGUCUU